UAGUUUUAGUGUUUGGGUGUAGCGUGUUGUAAGAAUCACAGUUUACGACUUUACAAUACAUACUGUGUUGUCUAUGUUAAGAAUUAUAUCUCCUGCAUUAAAAAACUAAUUAUUAGAUGAUGUUGCCUUCUACUAGUUGAGCUAAUAAACUUGGACAAAGAAUAAUCUUUACUUGGGAUUGGAAUUACACUAUUGCUUAUCAGCAAUACAUUGAACAAAAAUACUGAGCUGCCUUUAUCAUAAAAAUCUUGGACCUCAAAAUUAUAUUUUUGCAAAAAUCAAGGUUAGGAUGAGUAAUAUCUGUGUUCUGUUCCUUUUUGGUCUGAUAACAUGUUUAUGUCUCUAUCUUUAAUACAGAUUUGCACUGAUCUUAAUGCAAGCAAUGCAAGCUUAGGCAGCAUGACUUUGACACUAUUCUUUCUUAAGCUCAAAAUCAAACAUUGUGUAAUUUUCAAUUUGUCCUUAACAGGUAGGACAUGCACAAAAAUGCUGUCUUAUGAUAUAAUUAAAGAAAAAUUUGCCCAUGCUGAUUUGCCUGUGUGGAUAACUGCACUUGUAAUCUGUCAGGGAAUGGGAUCUGGUUUUGUCACGCUGGUGCAGUAAAUUUAUAGAUCUAUAUUGGCUAUACUGUUUCACCUUGAAGUCUUCUACUUUUAAUGUUGUUUGGGGUUAUUGAAGUGUAUCCUACUAUUAUCCAGCAAAACAUGAAAUGUUUCUUUAUUUCUGCUUUGUGAUAAUGUUUCCUUCUGCUUCUGCGAUAACCAGGCAUUACAUGGUCAAUCGUGCAAGCAACAAGCAUCAUAUGGUAUUCCUGUUGGCCGACCAUCGUAUCACACACCUGGCUUUUCAGGGAGCAAACCAGGAAUUUGGAUCUGCUGCUCAACGGAGAAUAACAUCUAAUAUGGUUCCAAAUGCUCGCAUCACCAACCAUUGUGCUUUUUUGGUGACAACGUUGAGAAGGGGGAUGCGAUACAUUAAGAUGGUCUGAUAUGGUGCUUUGAAAGUAGUGCCUUGGUGGGUUGUUUCUAACACUUGAUUGAUUGUCAGUCUUAGUGAAAAAGUUUAGAAACGCAAUAGCGAACUAAAAUAGAAUGAAAAAAUAUCUUCAAACUCUAGCUAUCCUAAGAAAGCUGAGUAGCAUAAGAUGAGAUGGUCUUCCUAAUACAAGACAUCGACAUCACAAUGUUAUGUAAAUCUCCCUUCCCCUCUGCUUCUCAAAUCCUACCUGUCUCAUUCUAGGCGGAAAAAAAAAAGUUGUGUAAAUACUCUCACAAAUGUUAGAAAGGACGUUCAAAUUUGGGAGUUAUAACAAUUAUAUUGUAUCGAUGUGAAAUAAAAAAGUAAUUGAAAAGUAUAUAAUCAAACCUUAAAGUUUUCUAAAACCAUCCUUAAAUAAUAAUGUUGUUUCAAAUAAAUUACUUUUUAAAGACAUUAUUACUUUUCAAAUAAAUUACUUUCACUCCUGAACUAACUCUAAUCUUGAAAUAAUACCCGAUUGCAGUUUAUGGAAUGAAUUGCGAUGAAACUAUAUUCUUAACUAAUAAUCUCAAAGUCAAUAUGCGUAAACAUUUGUGCUCGAAAAUUAUAAAAUUGCAUCGAAAUUUGAAAUAUUGCUUGAUCAAGAAAUUACAGGGAAAGGGUACUUGGUAAAUCAAACUCAAAAUUUUGAUGUUUAUAAGUGAAGAGAAUUCACAAAUUUGUGAUUGUAUUAUUAUAUAAUACAACAUCAAAGUAGUCGAGGGGGUUUAAUCUAGUAACUAAAGUUGAGACCCAGUAAUUAGAGAUCCUACAUUCUAAUUUCCUGCCUUCUUUUCGCUUUUUAAAUCCCAUCCCUCCCUUGUUAGAGGGAGAGAAAAAAAAAAAGCAACAUCAAAAGUAACCAGGGGACAUUGAAAAAAGGCUACCAAGUUAUUUAUUGAAGUUUAUUGCACAAUGAUUUUGAAACUCCUUCCGUGGACAUUAGCUUGAAGUUGGAGUAUCAUGGACAUCUUCCAGUUAUCGUAAGUCUGCUCAAAUCAUAAUUAUAUAGAUUGACAUGUGAUUACACACUUCAAUUGUUUAUGAUUUCAAUUAAGUAGGAUUGUAUCUCCAGUAAAAAAAAAAGUGAAAAUUUUUCUUUUCCUCUUUUAUAUCCCAAUGAAGCAUUUUAAAUUAAUUCAUUCUGCCUUGUAUAAUAUUCUGCCUUUUUUUUUUUCGGUGCAUUGGAGGCCUGCAGGCCAUUUACAAAAUGUGACUAAACGUGGGAUGCAAUCCCCCACGUCAUCAUUUAAACAUUUCUCAACGAGGUGGCCUAUCCUUUGGUGUUAGUUCUUGCUGGUGGCUCCACUUUGCAAGGCUAUCCGCACAACCAUUUCCUUCUAUCAAAGUGUGGGUCAACCACUGAGCACCAAGAAAGGGCUAAAGUUCAUCUUUGGGUUGUAGGUUAAGGAUUUUAACCCUGUCUACUAGCCCGUUAUACGCAACCUCUUUAGCUUUUCCUUCCCCUUAAAUUAGGAUAAAUUUUUUAUACUUACUAGCCUCUUAUACACAACCUCUUUAGACUCCGCUCCCCCCUAGAUUAAGAUAGAUUAGGUUUUUUUUUUUUCCUGGUAGAUUUUUUCAAAAAACCCAGUGGUUUGGUAUUUUUCUGUUUGGUUUCCUCUUCUCUUCUCAUUUUUUGCCUCAAAUGAAAUGCAUAUUUCAAGAUUUUGAGAUCUUGGUUUACUUGCUAUGUGAGGAAGUAAUUAGGUUGAAUGAUUAGUUGCACUAUCAAUGAAAAAUAUUUGGAAUUGUGCGUGGAUAAGUAUCAGUUGAGUUGCGGGUUAGUAAUUAUGGAUGCCACUCAUUAUAUAUAGUUCAAGCAAGAAAAAAAAUUUUCCAUUUAUUUGGCUCAGGAAUGGCAUGUAAGUUUCCAGAUUUUGAGACAUAGGUAUAGGGUUUGAACAAGGAGUUGAUUUGACCUAUAAUAUUUUCAGUUUGAUUUCUUAAUUUUACUUGACGAUAGAGGCAUUUCUAUUUAAUUGUAGUUGGAAAUAACAGCCAUUGUCUCUAUAACUGGACCCAAGCCUCUUUUUUAGGUUCAUGUUGUCAUGAAUAAAAAUUUUUUGGCGAAAAUGUUUGUAGCAUUUCGUUAUGAUGUUUUUUUUAAAAAAAAAUUUCUUUGCUUUUGCAUAAUUAGUUUCUUUGUGAAUGGUCAGUUCUUCUGUGCUACUAUUUUGUAUUGUUUUAUGUCAUGAUUUCUAUUGUACUUCUGUAGGUUAAAUACAUGAUUUUUCAGCCUUUGACAAUAAAUUUGUGGUUUACUGGUUAGCUAUUUUAAUCAAGAAAUGUUUGGAUACUAAGUCUGUCGAUAUUCAUGAUUUUGCCAUGAGAUUUGAGCAACUUCUUUAUAGUAAUUCCAUGUGUUACAUGAUUUUCUCAAUAGGAGUUAAUUUUAAAAGGUCUACCAACUACAAUUCCAUUGAUUUGCUUCCUAGACUAAUACUUAGGAUUGAUGUAAAUAUAAAAUUCAGGAGGUAAGUGAUGGCUUUAUGUAGGUUUACUUGCAUUCUUUUUUAUUUUUUUUUUUAAAGUUGUAUUGUUUUGUAACUAAUGGAUUUUAUCAUUCAGAAUUGCUGAUUUUGAAUUUACUCGAGAAUGUGCAAUAUUUGAUCUACUAGACAUUCCACUCUACCAUGAUUGGAUAGUUGACCCCCAGGUAUGAGUUGUUGAGCUUAAUGCAGUUUUUUCUUAUAUAACUUAACUCUAUUGGGUGUAAUUUGGAACUAUAAAGAGCAGUUUUCAUUAGUUAGAUUUAAGAUAGAUUAAAACCUGAAAAGUGAGUUUAGACAUCAAACUGCUGUUUUGUUAAUAAUUUCGAUAUAUUUGGUAACAAUUCUAUUGGGUGAUUAGCUUUAGUUAAAAUCUAGCAGCUAAAGUUAAAAGGUGAAACCUAUUUUCCAUUAAUUUUCUUGGGGUAAUUAUUCUCUCAUGCUGGACAUAUCUUUCUUGAAGAUUUGUGAAACUUUCUAGCUUCUGCAUAAAAAAAAUGUAUGUUUGGAGUUAAUUCAUCAGAAUUGUUGGUUCAUUUUCUUACAUGUACAAUCAUGGUUUGGAUUUUGACUGUAAAUAAGUAGUCUGUACAAAUUAGGAAUACAUUGGUUAUUCAUACUUAUGCUGUUUAUGGCUAUGCUUAUGAUUUUUUGCUGCAAAAUGUUGAACUGAGAGAUCAUGUGGCUAAGCAGCUAAGAAGAAGGAAUCUAUUGUGCUGUGUUAGGUAUUCAUAUCGCCUCAUUAGGAGUGCAACUCAAUGUUAAAUUGAUUAUUGUAAUAUUUUAUUUUGCUUAGCUUUUUCCUAGAGAACAAUUUCAUUUGACAUUUUUAGUUAAUGUCUAUUAUGUAGUUAUCAUUGUUAAAGAACUCAACCACAGGAAUUUUGUAAUAGUUAGGUUGCUGAUUAAUAUGGCUCAAUUGCCAUUUCAGUUUAUACAUGACUUACUUUUUUUUAUACGUAUUUAUGAAUCAUGAUGUUAUGUACACUUUUUUCAUUCUAUGUUAAUGUGUUUUAUGGGUGAUCAUUUGUAACUGCCAAAUUCUUUGGUUGUUUUUUGCAAUUAGUGAUUUAUGUCUUAAGUUUCAAAUAAAAAUAUAUAAAUGAAGAGUUUAAACUAUAGGUAAAUAAAUGAACUGUCUUAAAAGGUAAAGAAGUAAUUUUGUAAAGCAGAGUCAGUUCACAUUGCUUCACAUAACAGAUUUUGUACUGCAUUCAAUUAUUCCUUUCUUUUUUGAUUCCGCAACUCAUUAAACCAAGAAAUGAAACGAGACAAAAAUAAUUUGGUUCACUUCUACUCCUUUCUCUCCAUUCAAAUAGACACUUAUCUUUCAAACAGGAUUAAGAGAACUAAAAGUCAAUACAUUGUAUAUCAUAUUUCAUUCAUAUAUAGAAAUGCAGGACACGUGUUUUUAAAACUCUUAAUCCACUUUCGAUUUCUUUUCUCCAUGCAUUGAAGUUCCAUUUGAUAGUAAUACACAGCAAUAAGAAAAGCCAGGAAAAUUGACAUGAUGAAAAAAAUUGCAGGGCUUAAGCUGUAAACAAAUAAAUGAACUGCCUUGAAAAGAAAAUAGAAAAUGAGUGUUUUUUUGUUUUGUAAUAAUUUUACUUUCUUUGAGCAUAUUAUUAAUCAAAAAUCAAAGCCAUAUUUUGUUUACGAGGAUAAUAAUAAAAAGUAAGAAAACCUAUUGUAGGUAUAAUAAAAAGUAAAAAAUUCCUUAGAAAAUCAUGCCUAUAAAAAGUUGAUAAUUUUUAGUUGAUAAAGAAAACACAUAAAGAGCUAGUAGUUUUUGGGGAAAAGGGUUUCCUUAGUUUUAUAUGUAACUAUCAAACACUUAUUGUUUCUUUUUUUUUCCAGUCACUUGUAUGCGAUUUAAAAUGUAAACACUUAGUUAUGAAAUAAAGGCUUUUAAAACUUAUGAUAUAGACAAUUCGUUGUAUUACAAGAGUUUUUAAUUUUUUUUCUUUCUUUUUUGAUUCCGUAGCUUGAUACACCAAGAAAUGAAACGAGACAAAACAAUUUGGCUCAUUUCCACUUUCUCUCCAUUCAAAUAGACACUUAUCUUCCUAAUGGAACUAAGAGAAUUAAAAAUCAAUUCAUUGUAUAUCGUAUUUCAUUCAUGUAUAAAAAUACAAGGCACAUGUUCUUAAAACUCUUAAUCCACUUUCAUCUUCUUAUCUCCAUGCAUUAAAGUUCCAUUUAAUAGUAAUACAUGGCAACAAGCAAAACAAGGAAGACUAAUAACAUGAAAAAAAAAAUUUGAAGGGCUUAAACUGUAGACAAAUAAAAAAAAAACUGCCUUGAAAAGAAAAUAGAAAAUGAGUGUGUUUUUUUUUUGUUAUGUAAUAAUUUUGUUUUCUUAAGCAUAUUAUUAAUCAAAAAUCAAAGCCAUCUUUUGUUUACAAGAUAAUAAUAAAAAGUAAGAAAACCUAUUGUAGGUAUGAUGAAAGGUCAAAAAUUCCAUUUUAGAAAACCAUGCCUGUAAAAAACUGAUAAUUUUUUUCAAUAAAGAAAACACAUAAAGAGCUAGUAGUUUAUGGGGAUCGGUUAGAAAAGCCAUAAAAAACUAGUAGCUCCGUUUGGAUUAGCUGUUUUUGGGGUUGUUUUUUAAAAACAGCACUGUACCAUUUCGUUUUUGAAAUACAAGUCCAUUUGGAUUAGUUGUUUUUUGGGUUGUUUUUCAAAAACCAUAUGAAAAACUUUUACUGUAGAUGUUUUUUGGAUUAUUUUUAGAGGUAUUUUUAAAACAUAUUUUUGAGUAUUUUUAUAAUUUAUAAUUUUUAUAUUUUUAUAUUUAUAUACAUUUAUGCAUUUAUAAUGCAUUUAUAAAUAUUUAUAUAUUUAUAUAAAAAUAUAUAAAAAUAUUAUAAAUGUAUUAUAUUAUAUAUAAUACAUAAUAUAAAUAUAUUUAUAAAUGUAUAAAUGUAUAAAUUAUAAAUGAAUAUUAUAUAAAUGUAUAAAUGUAUAAAUUAUAAAUUUUAUAUUUUUAUAUAAAUAUACAUUUAUAAAUAUUUAUAAAUAAAUAUAUUUCUAUAUUUCUAUAAAAAUAUAUAAAUAUAUAAAUGUAUUAUAUUAUAUAUAAUACAUAAUAUAAAUAUAUUUAUAAAUGCAUAAGUGUAUAUUAUUAUAAAUGUAUAAAUUAUAAAUGAAUAUUAUAUAAAUGUAUAAAUUAAUAUAUUAUUAAUAUUAUGUAUAAAUGUAUUAAUAUAAUUAAUAUAAAUUUAUAAAUGUAUUAAUAUUAUGUACAAAUGUAAAAUUAAUAUUAUGUAUAUUAAUAUAAAUGUAUAAAUGUAUUAUAUUAUAUAUAAUACAUAAUAUAAAUGUAUAUUAUAAAUAUACAUUUUUAUAUAUUAUGUAUAAAUGUACAUUUAUAUAUUAUACAUUUAUAUAAUAUAUAAUAUUUAUAUAAAUAUAUAAAAAUAUUUUGACCUGAAGAUUUAAAUUAUGAACUUGAAGAGCUCUUUUUUGACCACUGGACCAAUCCAAGUGGUUUAAUAGUGAUACAAGUAUUCAUUUGAUGAUUUCUAAAAUUUGUCCCUCCCACUAAAGUAUCUUUUCUCAAAUUUGUAUCACUCACUAAAGCUUUCCUUUUUUAAUUUUCUCAACUUUAUUUCAAGUCUAUUAUCAGUAAUGUUUUAAAAUUCAUUGCUAAAAAUAUAUUGAAUUAUACCAAAUAAGAUUUCUGGUACUUCUACAUAAAUCAUUUUCUCAAACUUAUGUGUUUAACAAAGAUUAAUAGUUUUGAUGAUUUCUAACAAACAAAAUAAGUACUUUGUAACUUUACCUAACCAUUAUGUGGAGCCCAAAAUUCAAAACCCAAAAAACACAAAUAAGGCCACUAGAUUUAUUUCAGCCAAGACACAAUAGGUUUUCGAGCAAGGCACCAGAAACGGUUCUUUCUAGGGAUUCGAGUACUAUUAAGAAGAAGAAGAAUUGACUUAUUUAUGCGGGUAGGAAGACUUUUACAAGAAAAUCAUAUCCGUAUUUUAUCUUAUUAGUUUCAGUCUAUAAAUUUCUCGUGUUAUUGCUCUAAUGUCCAAUCUUUUGUUUUACUGUAGAAAUCCCCCAAUUGAAUUGAAACUAGUCAUGAAAAUGUGUUAAAUAAUUUCAGAGUGCGCAACUAUCUCACACAUACGGCAUCGUGCUAUGAGACUUCUAGUUUUCUAUUAAUGAUUUCUGUUGAUGGUCUCGUAUAAUUCAACAUGAAUAGCUACUAUGUUUUCAUCGUUGGCAUAAGAAUUAAUCAAUGUUUGAAGUGUAUAAGAUAAUGUAAGGCAAAUUAAUUCUUGCUACAGUUUACGAGACAUGAAUAAACUAUAAUUUAGAAAUCAAUCAAAUUAUAAAAACAUCCUAUUAUACCAGGAAAUUAAUUGCACAAUCAAAGAGUGGAGUAGGUACUAAAAGGUGUUUAGUUUGCAAUUAGCAAGUCUAACAUCAAUUUACAUAAAUUCAAAUAGAAAGUUUAAAACUCAAUUCGAUACUUUCCUGCUGCAUCUUCUUUAAGAAUGGUACGAAAAUUACAUUUUUUCAAUAAAUUUUCUUUAACUUUUCCCGCAAUUUUGUUCAAAUUGUCUUCUGUAAGAUCCAUGGUCCUGACUUUGCCUCCUUUCUCUCACAAUUUUGUUUCUUUCAAAUUGCCAAACAAAUUCACAAUUGAAUCAGCAGUUUUGUUGGUGAAUCCCUUCACAUACUCUACAUGAACUUUAAUUCCUCACCUUUUUAACUCAGAUUUCAAAACUGUGAAUUUACUUUUUGCAACUAACAAGAAAAGAAGGCGAUAAGAGUAAAUCUAACACAUUUAUUUAAUGACUUUAAAGGUUAUACAAUAGAAUUAACUAGAAAAAAGAACACUAACAUAUAUUUUAAAAUUACUAACAUAAUCAGUUUAACACGGUCCUCAGUAGUAGCAAGUCUAAUUUCAUUCGCAAAGUGCACUGCCUCAUAAUUGUCGCAUUGCACCAACAACUUCUUGUAUUGCUUAUAAUGGUCUUGUGCAACAAAAUACUGUAAAGUUUCAAUAAUAGCUGUGAACUCUACAUCAAAAAUAUUUUUCGCAUCCUCAACAACAUCAGCCCAUCUCUCGUCUUUCAUGAAAGAGAGAUGAUUUCUGUAUAAUCCUCCAUAAUACCCUUUACCCACAGGACCACUAGGAUUGAAUAUACCAUCUACAGAACAUGUCAACUCCCUAAAAAAUAAAAAUAUUUUCACUUUCAUCAGCUCCAAAACAUCAAAAUAAGUUUAAAAACAGCAAUCCACUAUAUCCUUUACCCACAUGAUUACCAAGAUUGAAUAUACCAUCUACAAAACAUGUGAACAUCCUAAAAAGUAAAUAUAUUUUCACUUUUAUUAGUCCCAAAAUAUCAAGACGAUUACAAGAAAUAACAGAAUAAGAAACUUACUUCUCAUUUUGUGAUCCUUCCUAUUUUGCAAUGCUUAGGGGUCUCGUCAACUUAUUCAUAGGUGCAUCUACAUCGUGCACCACUUGAAUGUUACAUUUCUUUAUCAAAUUGCACAAGACUCGUCUUUUUUUACAAGGCACGGAAGCGAGCCACUGACACCAACUGUCUAAUGAAAUGACUAUGGCCAGGAGCAUUCUGUGAUAUUCAUUGUUGGAUGCGGCGAAACAAGCUCCAUUGUGUAUUUGACCUCCAAUUCUAAAGUCGUUUGCUUAGACUAAAACGACACUUCAACUAGAGUGUUUACACUUCAACCGAUAUUUUCCAUAUCUUUAGUUAGUCUACAGCUUUUCAGAAUAUCAUAUGUUGAACUCUUGAUUGAUGAAAAGCUAAUCAUUUACAGAUCUAAUAAUUAUCUUAUACUACCUAUUUGUCUAUGAGAUUUUUUCAUGCACCUAUGAUGUCUGAACUAUGGCCAUGUUCAUUAAUUAAUUUUCUUUGGAAUAUUAGUUAUUUCCUGUUGUUCAGUACUUCUUUUCUUUCUUUGUUGCUUUAGAUAAGAAAAAUGGUUAAAAUGCAAUACCGCUUAAACUUAAGGAAAGUAGACCUUUCUUUAAGCCCUAGGUGCUUGACUCUAAUCUUCAACUUUUGUUCCAAUUGAAAUGUUCUUUAUGUUUUUGUUGAUGCUGUUUUUGUCCUAUAGUGUCCAUGGCCUUGACAAUCGUUCGGCGUUUAUUGCGCAACAUCACACCAACCCAAGAUUAGUCAUUGCUUUUAUAACUUGAGAAAACGUUUUGACGGUUGAUAAUGUUAUGGUCUAACAAAGAAAGAAACAAAAAUGAUGGAAAGGGUGAGAGCAAAAUUAAAGAAUAAAGUUAGAGAAGAAAUGAUGGGUAUUGAUUAUGUAUUCAUUUUUUCUUGAUAUAGGCUUGAAUUUGUUUGUAAAGUAUGCUGAUCUUUAAAGUAACUCAAGUACUUCGCAGCCUAUACAUGGUGAGAAAGAGAUGAAAGAUGGCAACGUUCUAGAAAAUUUUAAGACAUUGGUAAUUUAUAUAAUUUAUGAGUUGUGGCUAAAAAGACUAACAAUAUAUGACUAUAUUAUUAAUAUAUGCUCAAGUGUCGUUUUAGUCUAUGUAAAUAGGGGUGUGCAUCGAAUUCGAAAUCAAUAAUUCGGAAAUUUAAAUUCGAAAUUUUUUGAAAUUUUCGUAUUUGAUAAUUCGACCGAAUUUGAUUUCAAAUUCACCAAUUCCGAAUUCAAAUUCGUACCUAAUUCAAUUCAGAAUUCGGUAAAUUCCGAUUUCAUCGAAUUCGAAAAAUUUAUAUAUUAUUAUAUAAUAUAACAUUAUAUAAUAAAUUUAUAUAUAAUGUUAUAUUAUAUAAAUUUUAUAUAAUAUUUUAUAAUAUAAAUUUUAUAUUACAUGUAUAAAAAUAUAUUUAUAUAUUAAAAACGAAUUUGAAAUCCAAAUCGAAAUUCGAAUUCCGAUUUCGAAAUUGAAAAUUUCGAUUUGAAAAACUCUAUUACCGAAUUCGAACCAAAUUCGAAAUAUAUGAAUUCAAAAAAUUCGAAUUCGAUUCCGAUUUUCGAUUUUGAUUUACCAAUUUCGAAAAUUUCGAAUUUGGUCGGUAAAUCGAAAUUUUUCGAUUUUGCACACUCCUAUAAGUAAACGACAUUAGAGUUGGAGGUCAAAUACACAAUGAAACUUGCUUCGCCGCAUCCCACAAUGAAUAUCACAGAAAACUCCCGACCUAUAGUCAUCUCAUUAGACAGUUGGUGUCGGUGGCUCGUUUCCAUGCCUUGUGAAAAAAGACGAAUCUUGUGUAAUUUGAUAAAGAAAUGCAAUAUUUAAGUGGUGCACGAUGUAGAUGCACCUGUGAAGAAGUUGACGAGACUCCCAAGUAUUGCAAAAUGGGAAGGAUCACAAGAUGAGAAGUAAAUUUCUUAUUUUGAUAUUUCUUGUAAUCAUCUUGAUGUUUUGGGAUAAAGUGAACAUAUUUUUACUUUUUAAGGAGUUCACAUGUUUUGUAGAUGGUAUAUUCAAUUUUGGAAAUCCUGUAGGUAAAGAAUAUAGUGCAUUGCUGUUUCUUAUACUUAUUUUGGUGUUUUGGGGCUGAUGAAAAUGAAAAUAUUUUUACUUUUUAGGGAGUUGACAUGUUCUGUAGAUGGUAUAUUCAAUCUUUGUAGUCCUAUGGGUAAAGGGUAUUGUGGAGAAUUAUACAAAAAUCAUCUCUCUUUCAUGGAAGGCGAGAGACGGGCUGAUGUUGUUGAUGAUGCGAAAAAUAUUUUUGAUGUAGAGUUCACAGCUAUUAUUGAAAGUUUACAGUAUUUUGUUACACAAGAGCAUUAUAAACAAUACAAGAAACUGUUGGUGCAGUGUGACAAUUAUGAGACAAUGCACUUUGUGAAUGGAACUAGACUUGCUACUAUUGAGCACCGUGUUAAACUGGUUAUGUUAGUAAUUUUAAAAUAUAUGUUAGUGUUCUUUCUGCUAAUUAACUCUAUUGUAUAGCCUUUAAAAUCUUUAAAUGAAUGUGUUAGACUUACUCUCAUCAUUUUCUUUUCUUGUUGGUUGCAAAUAGCAAAUUUACAACUUUGAAAUUCGAGUUGGAGAGGCGAGGAAUUAAAGUCCGUGUACAGUAUGUGAAGGGAUUCACCAACAAGCCUGCCGAUUCAAUUGUAAAUUUGUUCGGCAAUUUGAAAGAAGCAAAAGUACGAGAAAAAGGAGGCAAAGUCAAGACCAUGGAUCUUAUAGAAGACAAUUUGAGUGAAAUUGUCGAAAAAGUUAAAGAAAAUUUAUUGAAAAAAUGUAAUUUUCGUACCAUUCUUAAAGAAGAUACAGCAGGAAAGUAUCGAAUUGAGUUUUAGACUUUUUGUUUGAGUUUAUGUAAAUUGAUGUUAGACUUGCUAAUUGCAAACUAAACACCUUUUAGUACCUACUCCACUCUUUGAUUGUACAAUUAAUUUCCUGAUAUAAUGGGAUAUUUUUACAAUUUGAUUUAUUUAUAAAUUAUAGUUUAUUCAUAUCUCAUAAACUGUAGCAAGAAUUAUUUUGCCUUACAUUAUCUUAUCCACUUCAAACAUUGAUUAAUUCUUAUGCCAACGAUGAAAACAUGAUAGCUAUUCAUGUUGAAUUAUACGACACCAUUAACAGAAAUCAUUAAUAGAAAACUAGAAGUCUCAGAACACGAUACCGUAUGUUUGAGAUAGUCGCGCAGUCUAAAAUUGUUCAACAUAUUUUCAUGAUUAGUUUCAAUUCAAUUGGGAGAUUUCUACAGUAAAGUAAAAGAUUGGACAUUAGAACAGUAACACGAUAAAUUUAUAGACUGAAACUAUUAAGAUAAAAGAUGGAUAUGAUCUCCUCGUAAAAGCCUUCCUACCCGCAUAAAUAAGUCCAUUCUUCUUCUUUUUAAUGGUACCCGGACCCCCAGAAAGAAUCAUUUCUGGUGCCUUGUCUGAAAACCUAUUGUAUAUUGCCCGAAGUAAAUCUAGUGAGUUUACUUAUUUUUUUGGGACUUUGGGAUUUGGCCUCCACAUAAUGGUCAGGUAAAAUUACAAAGUGCUUAUUUUGUUUGUUAGAAAUCAUCAAAACUAUUAAUCUUUGUUAAACACAUAAGUUUGGGAAAAUGAUUUAUGUAGAAGUAGCAGAAACCUUGUUUGGUAUAAUUCAAUAUACUUUUAUCAAUGAAUUUGAAAACAUUGCUGAUAACAGACUUGAAAUAAAACUGAGAAAAUUAAAGAAGGAAAGCUUUAGUGAGUGAUACAAAUUUGAGGAAUGAUACUUUAGUGGGAGGGACAAAUUUUAGGAAUCAUCAAAUGAAUACUUGCAUCACUAUUAAACCACUUGGGUUGGUCCAGUUGUCAAAAAAGAGCUCUUCAGAUUCAUAGUUCAAAUCCUAAGUCUGACAGUUCAGGUACAGAGGGUGUGGGGGAGAAUGAGAGGGUCUAAAAGAAGACCGCUUGCAUCACUAUUAAUUUGAGUGAUGGUCAGUGGUUUUUAGUCACUCAAAACUAACUAAUUAUGUUAUUCAUUUUUUUGUCUAAAUUUAAAGCUAUAAUUGUCACUUACUUUUGUAUUUCUGUUUUUAAUUUAUUUAACGUCUAAAAUAUGUAAUACAAAUUCAUGAUUAAUAUUAAAUCAAACUGAAGAAAACAAGAACUUGACAUUUCUCUCAAAAUGAGUAUUAAGGUCGUUUUCAUUCUAGAAUUUCUCUCAACCAACCUUUUUUCUCAUCUCAUUCCUUUCUAUAGCCUUAAAGUCUAAAGAGAAUAUUAGUGCCAAACAAAAAUAGAGAAUCACAAUAAAAUAAAGGGGACAAACAAGAAUAUAACAUUAUUCCAAAUAAUUGGCCGUCCAAUAGAGCCAGCAUUAUUAAUAUAAUGGCUAUAAUUCUUUCAAUUUACGAUAAAGUAGGCAAAAUGCUUCAUGCAGAAUUUUUUUUUUAGUGAAUAAAGUUCAUAUUUAAUAUGAAACUAGUGAAAGGAUCCCAAUGAAAGAAUUAUUAAUCUUAUCUCCCAAAUUAAAGUUCACAUUUAAGCAUUUUCCUGCAGAAGUAAAUAGUGACUAAAGUUCAUGGUUAAAUGAUCUACUAAAAAUAGUUCGUAGUUCAUCAGAACCAAGUGAUUCAAUACUCUAGCAAACAAAAUUUUCCAAUGGUUAAAUACUCCAAAUGAAUAGUGGCUCCAUGAGAAUGGGCAAAGUUUUCAAUUUAGUUGAAAUGUUUGAAAAUUUUGUUUGUAUACCAAUAAUAAUAUUUCCUAUUCAUCACAAAAUUAUUUGAAUACCGACCAAACUUUUGAAUAAAUAACUCUUAUCUCUUACUGCUUAUUCUGUACUACAAAUAUGUACUUCAUUUUUCACAGAGAGUUUGUAGCUACAUUUGUUUUAUGAUCAUUUACCUUCUAAAGGAUUAACUAAGAAAAUAACAAUUAGACCUCCCAUUGGAUUUGUACCUUCUAAAGCAUUAACUAAGAAAAGAAAAAAAAUUAGACCUCAUAUUGGAUUUGUAAUUUCAUCUUAUCUAUCUUAGGAUAGUUCUUUUUCGUCUUAUAUAUUGGACUAAUACAUUUUAAGGUUCAAUACAGGCACAGAUCCUACUAUGGUCUCCAUAUCCACAAUGUAUAUCUCUUUUAGGCAUAAACUUGUGCCUAAUCCUAUCAAUUACAGUCUCUAUAAUCUUAUACCAUUACGCUAUCCUAUGACGACAUGUGACCUUGGUUUACUAUCCACAAAAAUAGUAUAGUCUAUGUUGGUAUUCAUACCCUAUCGAUUGCUCACCCCUCUUACUGCUUAAAUGAGCUGCAAAGACGUCACAAAAGCCUUUAGAAAAUGUGAAAUAAAUUUGUCAAUACAACUGGCACGUUAUCAACAAAGUUAAUGUUCCAACACUUAUAUAUUAAUUUAUAUUUUCUGAUAUUCAAAAUUUCCAUCCUAUAGCUCUUGGCAAGCAUUUAUAUUGUUGAAUCUUAUCUUCGGAAAACUCAACAAGUCAAUGUGAUUCAUGAUAACAAAAUACAUUAGUUUGAUCAUGACCUAUCCAUAUGUUUUGAUUCAGAAUGGUCUAACAAAGCACUUUUUAGGAAAAUAUUUGCAGUUGUCAAACCCCUGAAAAAGCAGGAAAAUGAACAGGUAUGAAAGACAAAGCUUAUCACCAAAUUUGACAAGUAAGACAGCAGUUUUAAAACCCAAGGGGCGAACCUCUGUUUAAACCCGGCAGCCGGAUUUAAUGCUGGAAAUCCAUCCAUCCACCUAAACAACAAAGAGGGAAAACCAAUGAGAAAAUGAACAAAAAAUUAAAGACCAUGUCCAGGUACUGAACCAGAUACUUGAUUAACAGAUUUUGACAACUAAUUAACGUAAAAAACAAGUCAGACCUGCAACUCAACACACUCACCUUCAUCUAAUCAUUAUGAAAGAAUUCAUCAAAUCCAUAGUUGGAAAGAAUUCAUGGAAUUAUCGUGUCUAUUAUCUUUUCUUUUUUGUGUGCAGCAGACCGUUAGUUGGUUGACACCUGAUAGUGCUCUCUUCUGUAAUGGCCACAUCCCCCCCGUUCAUCAUCCCACCACAGAUCAUAAGUUGGACUUCAGUAGAACUGGAUAGGACAAUUGAGUUCUGGUCCUCCCUAACUAUCGGCACAGACAUUGCAAAGCGGGGCUUGGAGAUGGCUAGCCGAGCCAAUCAGAAGAACUGUAAAAUACCAAAUCGCGAGAAGAUUAGGAAUAAGAGACAAGAAGGUUAUAAAAGCGGUGAAGAAUACAGGAUUCAUCCUGGUAGCAGAGAGACGGGUCAAGGUUUCUUGCUGGGAUGCAAUGAAGGUUCUAGUCUGCCAAGAGCAAAGCAGGGAAGAAGAUGGAACGAGAGAAAAUUGGGGAAAGGAAACUCUUAAGGACUGCUAUGAAGUUAACGAUAUCUAUUUCUAUUAUUUACUAUCUAUACAGUCAAAGCAUUUUAGCAUUUUACUAUCUAUUUCUAUUAUUUCAGCCAAGUCCAGGACUUAAGUGAAAAUCCAAAAAAGAAGAAAGAAGAAGAAGUAUAAAUCAGUCAAACAGCCUUCCUUUUUCAUGCGUCAUAUCAGCAGGUAUAAUAAAUGAAACUAUGUAUUUUUACAUUGGACAGAAAAGUGGACACAAAAUAUUAGACGGAGGAUCCGUCUGCAAGGAUAAUUAGUACUAGGGUUCAUUAAGCAGAAACUUUAGGCAGCGAGGACAGCUUAAAAACAGGAAACUUUGGGGGCCUUUACUAUUUAAGCGGCACCACUUUAUAUAAUUUAUUAUUGGACCACUCCUUUAGAUCCUUUUUUUUGGGGAUAAUUUCAGAAACCUCCCCUGAAUUUUCUAAUAAUUUCAAUUAGUUCUCCUAAAGUUUAAAAAAUUACACUUACCUCUCUUAAUUUGAUAGUUUUAAUAACAAAACCUUCAAAUAAUAUUUGAUUUGGUCAAAUUUUUAAAUGAAUACCCAAAUAUGUCCUUGUGUAAUAAGUUUUAAUUUACUUUUCUAUACAAUUAUAAGAUUAUCUAGUAUAAUUAUAAGGAAAAAACGCCAAAUUUUUCAUGUCGAUACCUAUUAUUUGAUAAAUAACUAUACUAACAAUUUUAUCACUAUGAUGGGAUACUUUUGAUGGUGUAUAUUAUUAUGGAGCUAGAUUUAUAAGAUAGAAAAAAUAUUAAAAUAAUUCAUUUAGAGUUUAUGAAUUUUUUGAGUAGUAGAAUUAUCAUCAUUUAGUAGUAGUUUUAGGCCAUUUCCUUUUGAUUUAUUUCUUAUCUCACUAUAUAUCUUUCCGUCUAUGCGUGCAUCAUGCAUCAUGGUCAAAGCACCGAUAGUUAGCGCAAAUAAAUUUUUUACCCUACCAACAUAACCACAUUUUACCACAUGGCUACUUAUGAGCACCCAAAUGUUGUAAUAAUUAUCCAUAACCACUCUACAAAGCAUAGUAAUUUUAGAAAAGUUAAUAUAAGUAUUAUUUUUGUAAAAAAAUUAUACAAAUACUUGUAUAUCUCUCAUAUCUUUACAAUAAUAAAGUCUAUGUAGGUAGUUAACUUAGUGUUAACUUAGUGUGUUUUCAAAUUUACCCUUAUAUCUAUUAUCUAUUAACCCUUAUCCCUAUUCUCAAUCUCUAUUAUCCACUAAACAUCUUUUGUCACUUCUUAAACUUUCAUUUUUAUCAUCAGAAAUACUAAAUUUUAUCCUAACUAUCCAAUUAUAUAUAACCAACAUAAUUUUUGUUGCAACUAUCAAUAGGUUUAAAUAUCCAAACUUUUAUUAUAAAAAAAAUUUAAUUACCAAAAUAACUACCAAGACAACUAUCAAUUUAUUUAAAAAAAUUUCAUAAAAAUUAAUUUAUUCUUAAAUUGCACACACAUGGGUGUGCCUUGAGCACUAGUCAUAUAUAAAGCAUGAGGAGGGGGUUUGAUGUUAAAAUUUUGUCUCAUUUUUACAUUUUUCAAAUUUAUCCCUAUAAAAAAUAAAAUGCACUAAGGAUAACUACUAAAUUUGUAACUUCUAAUAACUUCACACCCAAUAACUUCUAUUUGUUUUUUAUUUGUUUGUAAUAAAGGGUUGUAUAACUUCUUAAAAAAAAGAAAUUAAAAGAUAACUUAAUUUUUCUUAAUUGCACAUCCAUAGGGUAUGCUUUUCCCAUGAGUAUCUCUCUAUAUAAUAAAGCGUGAGCAGGGAUGUGGUGUUAAUAAAAAGUAUCAUUAUUUGUUAUUUCAAAAAUAUUAUCCCAACAUUUACCAAUAUUCACCCACAUCUUAUCCCAAAAAUCUUCCACUCCUACAUAAGUACUAUUACAAUUAACUAAUCCACCAAUGAAUAUUGCAUCACUUUUCAAAAAUCGUACUUGUUUCUAAAAUAUGCACACAUACAGCUAGGGAUGGCAACGGGGCGGGGGACCCCUCCCCCACCCCCCGCCCCGUUGCCUAUUAGUUCCCCCCGUCCCCCGCUUCUCGCUCCCUCCGCCCCACCCCGUCUUGCCCCGCUUCCCUCGCGGGGGCACCCGCGGGGUUAAUAUAAUUUUAUUAUAAUUAAAUUUUAAUAAAUAAUCAAGUACUAAAAUAUCAACACAUCACCAAAUUAUUAUUCAUUGUAAUUUUACAAUUGAAACUCAUAAAAACAAUCAAACAGAAGUUAUUUGAAUACAAUCCAAUAUGAUGAAAUAAAUAUAACUAAAAUAGUCAAGUUUUCACUUUUAGUACAAAUGCAAUCACUAAUUCAUUAUUGUAUUUGUGCUUUUUUUUGAGAAAAAAGUGUUAUUCUAUUAAGUGUAAUUAGAAAUUUAGUAUAAAUGUAUUAGUAAAUUUAGUAUAACUAAUUAAUAAAUUCUAUUAGUAGACAUGUAUAAUUAUUCAUAUAAUUGAUAAUAUCAAUUAUAUUACAUAAACUAAUAUACAUUAUAUAAUACAUCUAACUAAUAAUAUCAUUAUCAUAAGUUUAUAACUAAUUAACUUACAUAUUAUAUAUAAUUAUAUAUAUAUAUAUAUAUAUUUUUUUUUUUUUUGUUUUGCGGGUGGCGGGGACCCGCCCCGUUUCUAAGCGGGGGGAAAAAAUUCCCCCCCACCCCCCGCCCCGAGAGCCCCCCGCGGCGGGCCCCCGCCCCCAUUGCCAUCCCUACAUACAACGUGUGUUCCACCGACUAGUAUGUAUAAAUAGGGAGGAAGGGGUUUGAAGUAAACAUUUAUUGUCACUUUAUGAACUUUUAUUUGCGCUUAUAAAAAUUAUUUUUACUUAAACUAUCUACACAUAUGUUGUCAACACCCAUGAUUGUUUUAGUUGUAACUAUUUAAGCAUAUAUUUAUAACAUAAAUCUCCUUAAGCAUUAUAAUUGCUGGUAUAGAAUUAUUUUAUUAAAAAAUUAAAAGAUUUUUUUGGGUGAGUGGAAGGAUUUGAACUCGAGACAUAUCACUUACACUCUCUUUACUCAAAUCAUUUAACAAUAAAAAUUGUAAAUAAAAUACAUGGCUAUAAAUAUUAUGUAUUUUUUAUUGACACAUAUAUCCAGUGUGUAUUUGUCACAGAUAAAAAUAGUGCAAGCUGAUAUAAGGGGUAUGAUGUGAAUUUUUUUUUGUCACUUUUUUAUUUUUCCUUAUUUAUCCUUCACUAAAAUGCUAAAUAGAAGAACCCUCCAACAACCAUAAAUAAUUUUUUUAGUUUAACUAUAUGAAAAAAAUCACAACAUUACAGCCUAAUAAAAAUUUUGAAUAACUGCUCACUAUUUUUCCUUAUAAAAUUUUCAUUUAAUUUGCGCACACAUAUAUAAGGCGUACAUUUCCCACCCGUCAUUAUAUUUACUCGGAACAAAACACGACAAGUACAGGUCAUUGAUCCCAGCUGUCCUCUGCCCCAAAAAAAAGAAGAAGAAGAAGAAGGCCUCCGCUGAGUAGUCUGACGGAAAAGUAGUACCCUAGCAAUAGUAAGGGUUUAAUGAUAGGAAUUUGUGUUUAUGGGUACCCUAGCAGAAAUUUUUAGGAUGCAGAAUUUCUUUUUACUAAAACUACUUUUUUAAGGAAUAGAUGAGAGAUUUAGCAGAUUUUCGUUUUUGUGCAAUGUUCUGUGUAUCAUACACAUUUCUUCUGUCCAUCUUUUAGCGUACAUAUGAGAAGGGAUGUAAAUAAAUGUCACUCGAAAAAAAAAAAAAAAAAAAACUACCCGGAGGAGAGAGAGGGGAGGUUGGUCAGGCCUUUAAAUUCCUGUGCACCCACCUAAUUUGUACGGUGCAAUUAUUUGCACACUACUCUUUUAACUGUCAACCAUUAGCUAGUACUUGACCGCGUCAAUCGACUGUCUUCAUCCACAUGGGAUGGCUGCAGCAGUGUCCCAAACGGAUUGUCAUUUCCUAUUAGAAAAUUGCGUCAUUUUUCAUGUUUAUAUUUUUUUAUUAUAUUUUUUUUAUUAACAUUCAUCAAAUUGUUAAAAUAGAAUUUUUAUAAAAAAUGAUGAAAAAUACAAUUUAAACGGGACGGUGCAAAAAACGAAAAGCGAAAAACCCACUAUUUGAUUUGAUUUUAUUUUUUUGUCAAACCACUAUUGAUUUUACUUGAGUUUUUUUUUUAAUCUUUUUUGGGGUGUCUAAUUCCUCUCAUCCCCACUUCCUUACGUGUCACUAUGUCAUACACACGCACAUACUUCCAUCACCAUACCUGCCAUUUGACCGCGUCAAUCAACUCUCAUCCACAGAGACGAGGAUAUGUCCCAGCAGAAGUGUCUGUCUGUGUACUGUCACAAGACAAAAGCCCGAUUAAUUUUACUGCGGUCCUCUUUUUGCCCUUUUUUUCUUUUGAGUGACCAUUUGCUUUCAUCUCGACUCGUCCGUCCUUACGUGUGCGUGUGUUCUAAUUGUGUGCGUGCGUGUCCGUCCUUACAUUUGCUUUCGGGUCGAUUUAUCCGUUAACUCCGUAUUUGUUCUUAAGUGUGUGUGUGUGUUAUUUUCAGCUUCUGAAAAAGACUCGUCCGUCCUUAUGUGUCACUAUAUAUAUAUAGUAUAUAAGUUUGCACAGAAUUACAGGCAACUCAUCUAGUACUUAUUUAUAUUUAUAUAAAUUUGAGAAGAGAUUUUCAUUAUGAUUAAGUUAAAACUAGAAUUUUGUCUGUACCUUAGCAUGGUUUCUUUUAUUAUUUAUUAUAAAUUUAUAUAAAUAUGAAUAAUUUAAAUAUAAAAAUUAACAACAAUUAUACAUGUUCAUUCAUAUUAAAUUUAAAAAAUUAAUAUAUUCUAAACGUUCAAUUAUUUACUAAUUUUUAAAAAUUUGUUUACAUACUUUCAUUAAAAGUAUGAGAGCAUAUAUCAAAUAAUGUUAUCCCAUAUCAAAAACUUGGUAGAUAUUCUUUUUUUAUAUAUAAAUAUUCUUUUAGAUAAUUUAAAUUUUUAUAAUGACCAUAAACCUAUAACUAUAAUUAGGUAGAAACCUAGAACUAUAAUGACCAUAAACCUAGAACUAUAUAUUCACAUUUAAUUACGUAGAAAAGAUUCAGCUAUCUGAUUUUUUUCAUCAAUAAAUAUUUAAUUGGUGUAACAUUUAAUUCUCGUUUUUGUACUACGUUAAUUCAAAAUUAACAGAAGAGAUGAUAAACAAUUUGAAUACUAAUCAAUGAUAUAGUGGUAAAAGAAAGUAAUUUAUGGAAUAUGUAAAAUUUUAAUAAUUGUGAUUUGAAAAAGAUGUUACUAAAGUUCUACGUAGUAAUUUCAUAGAAAGCAUUAAGAUAAAAUUAGUUAUUUUUAAAAUUUAUUUUAGAUAUCAUUAAGAUAAUAUUAGUUAUUUUUUAAGCUAUUUUAAAAUUAGGGAUAAUUUAUAAACAUAAAAUAUAAUAUUCAAUAUGGGUAAAACCCAAAUGACUUAUAACCCAUUAAUUUUCUUCAAUUAGGCAUACCACAUAGAAGUGAAAAAUAACUCUAAUUAAAAUAGUUACUUUCAUAUAUAUAUAUAUAUAUAUAUGUAUAUAGAUGCUUCCAACUGGUAAUUCUUGUUUCAUAGAAUUUUGAAUUUUUUAAAUUGUUAUGUAUCUUGUCAUGUCUUUUGAAUUUAAAAAGUAAGAGGAUGUUCUACUUAAAUAGGAAUAUGGUUUGAUAACUAUUAAUAUGAGAGUAAAUAAAGAAGAAACAUUACCACACCUAUUAAAAGUAAAAAAGUA
rnacentral:lncRNA from 1 species